rnacentral:rRNA from 1 species
GACGAACGCUGGCGGCGUGCUUAACACAUGCAAGUCGAACGGAAAGGCCCUGCUUGCAGGGUACUCGAGUGGCGAACGGGUGAGUAACACGUGGGUGAUCUGCCCUGCACUUCGGGAUAAGCCUGGGAAACUGGGUCUAAUACCGGAUAGGAGCCAUUUUUAGUGUGAUGGUUGGAAAGUUUUUUCGGUGUAGGAUGAGCUCGCGGCCUAUCAGCUUGUUGGUGGGGUAAUGGCCUACCAAGGCGGCGACGGGUAGCCGGCCUGAGAGGGUGGACGGCCACAUUGGGACUGAGAUACGGCCCAGACUCCUACGGGAGGCAGCAGUGGGGAAUAUUGCACAAUGGGCGCGAGCCUGAUGCAGCGACGCCGCGUGGGGGAUGACGGCCUUCGGGUUGUAAACUCCUUUCGCUAGGGACGAAGCUUUUUGUGACGGUACCUAGAUAAGAAGCACCGGCUAACUACGUG